GGAGAAAGCAAUGAAAAUUGUCUAUGCAAGGGGCAAACAGCCCGAUCCUACCAGAUCUAAUGGGGUCGUAGGGUAGUCUUCAGCCAUAGGACAGGAUUUUGUGUUGGGAGCUCAUAAAAGUGAGGGCUCAUGAGCACAGAGAAGUAUUACGGUCUGCAGACCACAGCCCACUUCUCUGGGCAAGUGUCGGUUGCUAUGUGGCAACAUGACAUUAUGUGCAUGUGUGUACACGCGUGCACACGUGCACUGGAACUUUCAGAGGAUGCUACGUGAGCAGCCUGACCUCCUUUGUGAGCCUCGAGGCCCCUGUCAGAUGUGAAUGCCAUUUGGGGGAGUACCACUCUUUCCAAUUCACAAUGGUAUCUGUGUAAAUAGCUUUAAUAUUUCUUUCCCUUGUCUUAGGUGAAGUUUUGUUUGUGUAGCAACCAGGUACGAGGUGACCAAAUAAAGCAGUGAACAUACUGUUGUGGCCAGCUGUCACGUGCUGAAAAUGGAGACCCUGGUUCCUCCAUUCCUCUGCUCUCUAUCAUUAGAUGAGUAUUUUGUGUGUGUGUUUAGGGGAUCCAGCCAUCACUUCUUCAUUCCCAAUUUGCCUCUAAUUUUGUUUGUUUCUUUGGAAACCCAGGAAGGGCCCCAGUGAGGAUCAUUUGUAAGAAUACAUACAUGGUGAUCUGGGUUUCCAAAAAAUUACUCUACAUACAGUGAAUCGAGAAGAAUCUGUCUGGAGAUUGGUUUCCAAACCAUGUACCUUUAUGCUUCGUGAUUGUGAAACCUCGACUUUUGUAAACCCCAAACGAGAACCUGUUUAGUUAAAGGGGGAUCUAUUUUGUGUGUUUUGAAAUUUAGGUGCAACGUCCCCUGGAAAAAAACUCAAGAACUGUAUAUGCUCAAUGACAUUUUAAAUAAAAUACUAUAUAUGUAUAUAUAAAUAUGUAUAUAGAAAAUCUUCAGC
rnacentral:lncRNA from 1 species